GUUGAAAUUUAUUUCAAAUUUUUAAGAAUUGCCUACAGCGUAACAUUUCAUCAAGAAUCAACAUAAGUGUCUAUAUUUGCUGAAUCUUUAUCUACUGUGUAAGACUUUGUAAGCCUAAUGAUGUUCUUUGGUCGAGUUAACGUUGUUGUCUCUUUAACGUAUUACCUGUUUUCAUUCUCAAUUUCAUUUAUUAGUUUUGAAUUGAAAAGUUAGUCCUAGUGAUAUUUAAUGCUGCCAAUAUUAUGCUAACGAGAUGAUGAACAAUAGACAGAAACUGUAAAUGAAACAUGUAAUAUUACAAAUUAAAGUACUUUAAAUAAAAU
rnacentral:lncRNA from 1 species